UAAAUUUUAUCUGAACCUGAAAUAGAUAAUUUCGAUGCCUCUUCUUUUCUCCUCUGCCACGCAAGUCGCGUGGGCUUCGAAAAGGCUUACAGAUAAAAUACGGGCAGUUGGUACACACCACCCAGGAAGCACCACUUUCAGGCGAGGAAUCCUCACAGAAGACAGAGAGAGAAGAAGUUUAAUCUGAUCAUCCUGGAAAAGAGCAGAGAAAAGAAGAAGAAGAUGAUGACGAUGGAACCGUCCGAAGAGGCAAAGCCAACUAGGUCUAGCACCGCACUCAUCCCAGGGCUACCAGACGAUCUAGCUCUACUCUGCCUCGCCCGCCUACCCAGCCGGUGCCGCGCCACCGCUGCCGUCACCUCCACCGCCUGGAAGGCCGCCCUGUCUCCGUCCAGCAUCGACCCCGUCCGCCGAUCCCUCUCCCUUCCGUCGGAAGCUUGGCUCUACCUCUUCCUCCUCUCCACCACGACCACCCGCUUCUUCUUCCUCGACCUCCUCUACCGCCGCUUGGUCCCCCUUCUUCCCCCCGACAUUCCCUCCGCCUACCACGUCCUCCCACGGCAAGCCGCCUCCACCACCACCCACUUCUUCCUCCUCCUCUACAACACCGUCACCUCUUCCGUCCUCCUCUUCCGCUGCUCCGGUGCAGGGAAUCCCGUUUCCUGGACCACUACCACCGUCCCGACGCCUCACUUCUCUCUCCCCCUCUGGCCUACCUGCAUUGGUCUCAACUCCCGCCUCUUCAUCGCCGGCGGCUGUGAUUUUUCACGGACCACCGGUGUGGUCGGAGCCUUGGACGAUGGUGGGGAGUGGCAUCAAUUGCCCAGCCUCAACGAACCCAGGUUCAUGGCCGCGGGACUGGUCCACAAGGGGAAGAUUUGGGUGGUGGGUGGCCGGAAGAUGACCGGUUCCGGCCUGAAAAUGGUGCAUUCCGGCGAGUUUUACCAAGAAGGAGAGUGGAAGAUGGUGCCGGGGAUGUGGCCGGAGGCGUUGCAGUCGAUGGAAGAGACGAUGCCGUGCUUGGUGGAGUUCAAGGGCAAGAUCUACGCAUUGAAGAUGGGAACCAACUUGGUGGUUGUAUGGGAUGAUGCAAGAAAUGUGUGGGGUUGUGUGGGAUGCUUUGGGGAGAUGUAUGUGGAGAAGGGUUUCAAGGGUAAAAUCUUGAGCACCAGAGAUGAGCUUUGGGGUGUGAAGGAGGACCCUUUUAUGAUUUUCAGGAUUGAAAUUAGUGGGGAGGAGGUGGGAGAGUUGAAGGCUUACUAUGAAGAGCUCAAGAGCAGCGGGCGCUUCAAGAGCUUGAGAACAACGAGGAUUGAUGAAGAGUUCGGUUUUGAUGCAGAUGAUGAGUACCAGGGGCUGCUUGAUUCUGCUUUCGUAACCUUCAGCUAGAGAGAGAGAGAGAGAGAUGUGAAAUGGCAACUGCACGCUAGUAAUCACUUACUAAUGUUGUUGCAUCGUGCUCAUCCUUUGCAAGGUUGGAUGCCUUUGGGCCUUUUCAGAAAAAAACGAAGUCUCUGCACUCUAGGUGCUGGAUCAGUGGAUUGUUAAAAAGAAAUGAAGCAGGCAACUACAUGCAGCAGCAGCAGCAGCAGCGGUGGUCUUCUUCUUGUCAUCCUUGUCAAAGAUCUUCCGGCGCUUCUGUCUCUCCCUGGCCCUGUUGUUCUGAAACCAGUAGAAAACGUUUUUGCUUUCAAUCAUGCCGUAGGAGCAGAGCUGAGAUGAUGUCCUCUGUAUCUGCUUGGCAGUCGUCGGGUUCCACCUCCCACUGUCCCACA